UACGGGGGGGGCAAGCGUUGUUCGGAAUUACUGGGCGUAAAGGGCUCGUAGGUGGCCAACUAAGUCAGACGUGAAAUCCCUCGGCUUAACCGGGGAACUGCGUCUGAUACUGGAUGGCUUGAGUUUGGGAGAGGGACGCGGAAUUCCAGGUGUAGCGGUGAAAUGCGUAGAUAUCUGGAGGAACACCGGUGGCGAAGGCGGCGUUCUGGACUGCAACUGACACUGUUAAACGAAAGCCAGGGGAGCAAACGGG
rnacentral:rRNA from 1 species